rnacentral:lncRNA from 1 species
AUGAUCACAUUCAUCACUGAGAAUUUGUACCUAUACAUGGUGUAUCUUGGUUCUUGUUUUUUCCCCUUUCCCCUGCCCCUCCCUUCCACCCCUCUACCCCUCCCUAUUUACAAAAAAACUGUUUCCGCUUUUUCCUUCUUUUCUCUAGGCAAAUGCUCUUUCCUAGGAUCACUUAGAGAAGAUGCAAAGGAUUUCAAACCAGAAAUACUUCUUAGAUUUUUUGGUUUGUUUUCUGUUUCAGUGACGACAGUAUGGGCUAUCAGUAUCCAUUUACUCUACGAGUUGUGCAGAAAGAUGGGAACUCCUGUGCUUGGUGCCCAUGGUAUAGAUUUUGUAGAGGCUGUAAAAUUGACUGUGGGGAAGACAGCGCUCUCAUUGGAAAUGCCUACAUUGCUGUGGAUUGGGACCCAACGGCUCUUCACCUCUGCUAUCAAACAUCACAGGAAAGAGUAAGUGCUCAGGGCCACCAUGAGGUGGUUGUUUCUAUAUGGGAAAUUUUUCCCAACUUAACUGUAUAAUGACAAUGUAAAAUAACCAGAAAAAAAAUUAUUGGGAUAUUUUAUACCACUUAACAUACUCAUAUGAUUUCUUGGGGUUUUUUUCCCCCUGACAUUGCAAAUCAAUUGUAUUGAGGCAUUAAAUUUCAAAAAUAUUAAUAACAAGUAAAUCUUGGAACAAACAUUAUAAUUAAGACAUUAUAUUCUCUGACCAUGACAUACCAAUAAACAUUUUUCUUCCCAUUUCUUAAGUAAUCAAUGAAGCUCUAGCGUUUGAUAACCACAAUUACUUUACUCCUGUUCUACAGUGAUAGCUGCUAUCUUUAAUGACCAUGGUGAUUACAAAAAUUAAAAAUUAAAAUGUUGGGCUGGGGAUUUAGCUCAGUGGUUCUGCCACCUGCCUUGCAAGCAGAAGGUCCCGAGUUUGAUCUCCAGUACCAAAAAAAAAAAAAUAUGUAUAUAUACAUAUAUAUAUAUAUGAAAAAGAUUAGAAUGUAAAAUUUUGGAUUUAUGUGUGUACAUACAUAUUACAUACACAUAGGAGCCAGGAAUUUAGCUCAGUGGUUUAGACGCCUGUCUCACAAGCACAAGGACCCAAGUUUGAUCCCCAGUACCAAAAAAAAAUCAAUAUCCAUUAGUGGGCCGGGGAUUUAGCUCAGUGGUUCCGCCGCCUACCUCACAAGCGCAAGGUCCUGAGUUCGAUCCCCAGUACCAAAAAAAAAACCAAACGCAUAUUACAUACACAUACACAUAAUCUUCCCCCCACGAUCCCCCCGGUACCGGGGGGAUCAAACUCAGGACCUUGUGCUUGCAAAGCAGGCACUGGAACCACUGAGCUAAAUCCCCAGACCCUAUACACCCAAUCUUUACCAUUUUGAGUUUUUAAAUAUAAAAGUGCAUAAAAAGGAAUUUUAUGUUAUGUACCCAGAAUUCAUUAGUAAUGAUCAUUU